GGAAGCCGGUGGGAAUCCGGCACAGUCGCGCUACUGUGACACCUCCUCCAGACGGUCAUCACGAUCGUCGGGCGGCGGUGGAGUCAGAC
rnacentral:ncRNA from 2 species